UUCCGUUUUCUCCCGGUUUUUGCCGGCAUUGGUGUGACUUGGGUGACAGCUAGGAGUGCCAAGUAUGCCGUCAGCACCAUCCCAGCAAAGGCAGGGAUGAAUACAAGAGCUGGCCUGGCUCUGCUGUAAACCAAGGGACACUUGUGUGCUGCCAAGGCCCCUGGGAACUGGCAGCUUCCUAACACCGUCCACAGCAGAGCCAUCCCUUGUAGCAUUGUGCAGCAUUAUUCCCAUGAUUUAAUUGUGCCCAGGAUCAUUAGACACCGUGGUACCGUUAAGAAAGCAAUUAUGACACUGACCCAUGUUUUCAGGGACCUGGGCAGGCAAGUGCCUUUGUCAUCUAUCAGAAGCUGGGUAUGAAAACUCCUCUCUGCUGUGUCACCCAAUCUCUCACCCACCUAGGAGAAGAGAGGAGUUAAAGAUUUGAUAAU